rnacentral:ncRNA from 1 species
UAUACCUUUGUGGUGCGGGCAGAGGAGCAAUUUUAUUUUUAUUUUUCUUGACUUAAUUUCCCUUUUCUUUUAAGUCUCCUCUAUAUAUUUUGUCCCUAUCUACUAUCUAGCGAAACCACAGCCAAGGGACCGGGCUUGGAAAAAUCAGCGGGGAAAGAAGACCCUGUUGAGCUUGACUCUAGUCUGACUCUGUGAAGAGACUUGAGAGGUGUAGCAUAAGUGGGAGGCCGUGAACCUCGCGGUUGUGUCGUGCCGUCAGUGAAAUACC